rnacentral:lncRNA from 1 species
CGGACCGGACCGAAAGGAUAUUUCAUGUCAAGUGUUUAUAUAGAAGAGGAGUGGACUAGUUUCUCACCCACCGUGCAAUCCUCAUCCUUCUCUCUCUAAAAUUCUUCCGUGCUGUGCGUUUUGGGUUCUGAUUCUAGCUGGUGAUAACCUAUUUUCGGAGCUGAUUUUUCCCUACUUGUUGUAAGUUAUUAUUCAUUUUUUUUUCGUUAUUUCAAUUGGUUUAGUGUUUUCCUAAGUUGCUUCUGCUUUUUGGGCUUCAUGUUUUAUGGUUUUGAACUGAUGCUGUUUUCCAUCAGAUCUGGUUCAAUUGGUUCAUUAUUUGUUUUAUUCUCAGAAAAUACAAUUUACGAAUUUUCUGAUUUCAAGGAGAGUGUUGUUUUAGUAGAAAACAUGGAGCGCCUUCACAUUUAUGUUGCCGCCAUCAAUUAUUCGCUGCGUUCUAAUUGAAGAGUUUUACAAAUGUGCUAUAACACCAAGAUGGAAAAAGUUCCACAUAUUUGAAGCGUUGAUCCGGUUUUAUUAUGUCGAUAUGAGAAUUAUAAUGUUGUUGAUAUUUAUGUUAUUCAGUGUCAAUUAUGAUGGUAAUCGACAAAACUGUAUUUUCUGGUGAUACUACAAAUAUUGAUUUUAUGGCAUAGAAGCCAAACUGAAAUAAUACCCUAGAUGGUGUUGAAUAUGCUACAUUUUAAUGAUAGAUAGAUGUGAUCAGGAUGAUGAGUUAUAGUUUUCAUAUGUGCGAUUUACACGAGUUUUAUACAUAUUGACAGUCAACGAUUAUAUAGAUCUGUCAACUUGAAGGGACAAUAUCUUUAUGUAAUGUGAUAUGGAGAUCAAACACAAUUUGAUAGGG